UCCGAAGAGCAUUGAAUCUAUUGUCAUCAGACUUUUACUCUUGCAAAAACAUUUUCAUGUUAUAUGAUGAUAGAUACGAGUAAAGAACCAGAGAAACUAGAGAAAAAAAAUUAAAGCAAGCAAAAAAGAAUGGGGAUGCCAUUCCGAGGGCUAAAUCUAAAUCUUCUACAAUGGCAAAGCCCAACAACCAAAGCUCCAUGCUACAAAGUAUAAAGUGGAAACUUGAAAAAGCAAAGCAAAGCUAAUAGCAAAAGCAAAGGAACAAAAACCACGCAAAGUGAGUAGGGAAGGAAGGAAAACUUCCUAGUUAUCUUCCCCCACGAAUGAGGAAAUAAAACCAACCCUGUGAUUGCUACAUUCUUGUAAUUUUCAGCUGUUUGAAUGAUUUUUAAGCUGAAUUUUAAGCUUUGGAUGUUGAUAUUCAAGUUGGCUAUGGAUGAGUUAAAGCUUCAUCAAUGGAUUUGAGUUAGCUUUGACUGACUACGAGCACUUCUCAAUUCAUACCUAUUUUUGUUGUUUUGUGAAUGCAUUGAAUUUUCCUUUCGGAUAUUCAUUCAGUUAUAACUGAAAAAAUUUAUUAAAAGUUUA
rnacentral:lncRNA from 1 species